GAACCGUCAACGCGAUGCGACUGCAUUAACGGGCACGGACAAGAAAAAAGAACUGAAGAAAAGCACUGGUGGAGGUUGGUUGUACCUUCCAUCUGUGAAGCUUCUGGUUGAUGGAGUCUGGCUGAGAGAGUGAGAGUACCAGUCGCAAGUUCCCAGCGAGCUAGUCCAUCAGCAAAACCCCACGCCAGAGGCCACGAUGAAGAUGGUUCCCAGCAUAAGAUAAGGACUCCUCCAAUGCGUUUCUCGCCUGUCAUUAGUGAAGAGGCUUUCUCCCAACGGCCGGUCACCUUAAG